UACGUAGGCAGCGAGCGUUGUUCGGAAUUACUGGGCGUAAAGAGUGUGUAGGCGGUGCUCUAAGUUCGGUGUGAAAUCUCCUGGCUCAACUGGGAGGGUGCGCCGGAAACUGGAGUGCUUGAGCGUGGGAGAGGAAAGCGGAAUUCCUGGUGUAGCGGUGAGAUGCGUAGAUAUCAGGAGGAACACCUGUGGUGUAGACGGCUUUCUGGACCAUAGCUGACGCUGAGACACGAAAGCGUGGGUAGCAAACAGG
rnacentral:rRNA from 1 species